ACAGCAUACAAAACCUAAAAUACAGAUUUCAAAAUACUACCACACACAACAGUGUUCACUGUGGAACACAAGAAUUUUAGUCAAAUAUCACUUUUUUUUUUUUUAUAGCUGCCAAGGCGUAUUUAAUAUGGUACAGCUUCACUCAUUAUCUGUUAUGCACGUUUCAGUCAUGUAUGUACAAAUGUGUACAUAAAAUGCUAGCAAAUACCUUUUGGGAACGAGACAGAAAGUUGCAAAUGGUUUAAUCUCUUUAACUGUCACGAAAAAAGCUUGUAGGCCUGAUGGCAGCCAUGAUAUCCAGAACUACUGCAGGCAUAGGGGAGGUCUGUGCUUAUGUUACUAAUUGGCAUUUGCUUCUAAUUUGGAGGGAUGCUAAGGUAGGAGAUAUGAAAAGGAACUGCCAAUGUCUCUUCUUUAGUCUACAGCAAACACAUCUACACCUACUCUCUCCAGUGGCUCUCUAGUAACUGUGCCUGUCACUUAGCCUAUCUUUGGACAACUUUUGCUGUAAUCAAAAUACUGGAUCAUCCUCUAAAGUACUGCUAUAGCCUGCAGCAGUACUAACCCAAGGACUUUUGUUUGUUUCCUAAAUUAAACGGUACUUAAGUGGAUAUUACCAUUAGCUGAUUGAGGUCACACAGAGCUUAAAAUUACAUGAAUAAUGAAUGCAUAUGUAAAUAAUCCAUGGAUCAGCUCUUCUAGGUAACUAUUCCAAUCCAGAAUAAAAUACCAAUUCCCACAUGCUUUUACUGCACCUCAUUUCUUUAAGUGGCUGUUACAAAUGCACCAAAAAAAUAAUCCAUCAAAAGCAGUGUCUUUGUUAGUAAACAGAUGAACUAUUUCCUUGUUAGUCUCUUUACCCAUUUCCUGCUCUGUCACCAUCUGUUACACCAAGUGAAAGGAUGUAGAAUGAAAACGGGCACUGGAGGAUCCAAAAUUCAAGUGACACGUAUAUACUAAUGCUUCUAGAAGCUGUUUCAAUCUUUGAGAUGUUGCAGAAGCCUUAAGGCUUUUGUAAUGGGUAUCCAAAUCCUAUGAUGGUUUCUCCUUACCUGUUCAACACUUUGACCUUUGGUCACAUACUCAUUUCCAACUUUCACUCUAGGGUGUAAUAAGCCCUUAACCAAAUCAGAGGAGUUGAUUCCCAUUAGGUAGGCAGCUUUGUCGGCACCUGAUCAAGAGAAACAAAGUUUUAGUUGGAUCUGAGCUGCUACAUGAAAACAUACCUAGCCAAGAAAAAAUGUUUAGUGCAUCCACUUCCAAGGAGAAGCUAAGACCUUGCUAAUUUUGUAAUACAUUGUCUUAAAUGUGCCUGUGCUCUUCCCCACGGCAGAGGUCAGCUAGAAACACACUUGAGAAAUUCUUGCAGUAUAGGGAAAAUAACAUAUCUUCACAAUGGAUAUAGGCAGUUGAAACAAUACUAUUCAAGGUGCUGGAGGAUGCAAAGAAACAAGACCUGAAGAUGUAAAAGAGAAAGCUAAGGCAACAACUUCGUACAAUCAUUUUGUUCAAAUGGUUACAAAAUGGAGUUUAUUGCGUUGGUCUGACUGACUGACACCUUCUACUAAGCAAUGUUACUUGGCACUGUUCAAACCACUGCUAGAAAUGAAAGAACAGCACUUUUGACUGAACAGUGGCUACACUGUGCAAGGUAAAAUGAAACAGGCUGCUUGUUUCUCAAUACAGUGUAUGAUACAUACCAGGAUUUUGAAUGUAAGGAGUAAUGUUAGGUGUUAUUCUUACUUUCAGUGCCAUCAGCCUCUGCCUGCUCUUCUCUGGGUCGUUGUUUGAAUUUCAUGUUCCCAAAGUGCAUAAUGGCACCUGUGAGCUUGUAGGCACCAUACUUCUCAUCUGGCACAAAUCCUAAAAUGUCCAUGGCUUGCUGUGAAAAAAACGAUUGGAUAUUUUGUCACAUGACUCUUCAAUGACAAUGGUUUUUUGGGUUUUUUUGUUUGUUUGUUUGUUUUUUGCAGUCCUAAAAUCUACUUCUGCAUGGCAGAUAUUAUUAACCUGCCCAAAGGCAUUAUCUCACAACAGCCCUUCUGCAGACUGCAUUUCUGCUUCCAUUUUAUUCCAGUAGUUUCAGUGGAAUAAGUUAGGCUCUCGCUAUCACUUUUCAUCCCACCGUGCACCCAAUCAAUGAGUCAAUCAAUAUAUGCUUACAUCUGUUGCCAUCAGUUCUUCUCCGUCAUCCAAGUUGUCCACUGUAACUACUCCUUGGGAGCAAAAGUGGUAGUCAUAUGGGUUGGUGGAGACCAAUAACAUAUCUGUAAAAGAACAGACAAGAUCAAAAGUGCUGUCUAUUCAGGAUAUACCCCCCACCCCGCCCAAAAAAGAAAAAAAACAGACAAACAGACUGAAAGGAUGAAACCUGACAAACAACACAAACUUGAAUGCAAUGCUUUUUACAACUGUGUGGCAGCAACAAACCCUUUCGCUCUACUUUUCCAGUCUAAAGACCAAGACUUAGGGAAAGAGUGAAUAAAAAUAACAUAGGAAUACUGCAUAUACCUUUACUAAGCAUGUUUUGCAGUACACCAAGAGAAUCGUUUCCUAUAUUGCUCUACUUUCUGCUUUGCAUGGCAGUAGGGAUAAAAACACAGAGGAGAAAAAGAUUUUAGUAUGAUGCAUGACAGAAAAAAUGAGGAUUUUUCUCUUCUUUUACAAUAGAUUCCCAAAAUAAAAAGUUUCAGGACUCUUUGAAAAAGAUUCUUGUCUCUCAACAAACAGAAGUCUGAACAUGACUCUAUUUCUUUCCUCUUUCCUUUUGCCUUACAUCAAAAAAUAGAGUUGUUUUCUAGAAAGCUAGCUGGCUCCAGCACUUCAGGGAGAGUUCUAUUUCUUUAAAUCCACAGAAAUUUUCAGCUGUACUAGCAGACAAAGCUUUGACCAAGCUAGAUGUCAAUUUGUAUACACAGGUGUGUGCAUAUCUAAGUAUGUGUGUAAAUAUGUCUGCUAACAUGCAUAUAUAUAUAAUCAUAUUCUGUCUAUAUGUUUGCUAUGUAGUCAGUAUGAUAUGCAUUCAUAUAUAUUUUCAUUUGUCUAUAUUUAUGUGUACCUAUGCUGAGAUAUCUCUGCACUGAUCUACAAAGACAUACACUUGUUGCCUACAAAUCAAAGCUACCAUUGGCUUCACUCUCUUCAAAAGCCUGCAGACGUGCUCCUGCUGGCCAGAAAAGUGUGUGCUGUUGUGAAGUAUACAGUUGAUGAGAAGGACCACACUUUCCCAGCACAGGGAUUAACAGAGGAAUCCCAUUGCAACGCUUCCUUGAAAUGUUUCCCGUAAUUAAUUAGGCCACAUACAACCUAAGAGGAUCAGGGACUUGACCACACACUGUCAGAAUACGCUUAUCAGAAGUUUAAUGUGGCAAUAUAGUGACACCUUAACGCAUUUUACAAGAUGUGCUAGAUGUGUUUCUUAGAACACAAAAGUCAGUUAAACGUGUUACUUAAAUGACCAGUGAAGGUUUUAUUCCAAGCUUUAGGAGAUGGGAACUGGAAGACAUCGCUUACUCUCUGCUUUUCUCUAGCAUGUGUUUGGAACAAAAACAACAUCAGCAUUCUUCAAGUUGUAAUGUCCGACAUGUUCUGGAGGCAUGAACUUUUCCAGCUAUUGUGAGAGCUUGAAUUACACAGAUUUAAUGUGAUGGUUUUCAACUGCAUAACGUUAACAUAUUAAAAGUCCCAUUGAAUUCCCUUAUUCUAACAUGUACCAUCACCUCACUUUGUUGGGUAUCCGAAUCAGUACACCACAGAAAAAUUUCCUUUGUUGCUGCCAUUGGAACACCACCUUUGGUAGAGCAUGUCUGUCAGUGGAGGCUCAGAUUCAAGACGUAGGAGCUUAAGGGCCUUUCUGAACACAAGUUUACUACCUGGCCUCUCUUCAACCACUCUAUUCAGCUAUAGGCUGGUUUUUAAAAGCUGUGUAUCCAUGAAAUGCUUACCCAGCAACUCUGGUUUCUUUCCUGAUAAGAUCUGGUAGAAGAUGUGAUAGUCUCUCUCACCCGGUUGCUGAAAAAUCACUCGGGAUUUCUCCAGUAAAUCUGGUUGCACAGUGAGAAAUUCAGUGAGAAAAGUUCACCAAGUUUUCAUGUGAGCAAUUGUAUUAUUUAACAGAGGAGAGAGUUUGGUGCUUACAGAUCUCAAUGUCAGCAGAUGACAGCUUGCCUGUGGUUCCAAAAUGGAUUCGGAUAAAUUUACCCUAAUUCACACAGGAGAAUAUUCUAAUUAGUGAAUACAGAGAGGGAAACAAAGGUUGUUACAAGAAAGCAAUCAUUUGGAUUAAAGAAUUAGUUUAUGCUAACUCCUUGGCUUUGCACAGGCAGAUUUCCAGGGGGAAAUACCAAACAGUGAUAUAAUAGUUUUCCAAGCCUGAGUCUAUACAUACAGCUAAGUAAUUGGCUUGUGGGGAAAGGAUAAUUGUGCACCUUUCAGCCAGGCUGAGAUACGGGAAAGCACAUGUUUUCCAGUUUCAUGUUGCAGCUUUGCAGGAAUGUGGGGCUUAGAACAGUAAGCCAAUAAGCCCGACUAGGACAUGCAGCCUCUCUAGCUCUCUCUCUCUUUUUUGUUUCGUUUGACUCUCCCUUAUCUGCAAUCCUGACUUUUAUGCUCUGCUUAGUCAGAACAGUGCUAUGCUAUUUACCCUGAUUUGACUGAUAAUUUUGAAUAUUCAUUACCCAAAAAAUAAUUUAAAACGAAUCAAACCAGUUCUCUCCUAAUUUGUCAUGCUCAAAGACAUCAGCCUUUCUGAAAUUAAUUUGCAUUCCAGCUGGAAAACAUACACCAACUGUGUGGCUUCCCACAGAUGCUUACAAUCUCUGAUUCUCUACAUAACCCCCUUCCAAUUUCACUUUUAAUCAAACUUCUUAGGGAAAAGAUGGGCUACAAACUCAGGCUAUCAUCCUUCACGCCACACUUUUUGGACCUCUGAGCCAACAUAAACCAAAUGUUACAGAGGAAGGGUGCCCCAGCAGACUGAUCUCCUGUAGCUCUAAUGAAAACAAGAAGAGAGGCCCGAGCUUAUGACCACACUGAAGAACAAGCAGGGGCAGCUUCCUGAGACAAAAAGCAAGAACAACUGUGUUGAGGAGGAUUCUUUGGAGCCUGAAGAGGGCAGACAGGAAGGACAACCCUGGAAGAACCUCUUUAACUCCCUGCGGAGCUGUUAUCGCGCCCACUUGGAACCAACACUAAAUGGAGAUCAGAAACAGGCUGGCCUCCAUCAUGAAAUCCUCAGCUACUCCUUUCCAGCGAGACUCAAAGCAGACAUCAGAUGGCCAAAGUGCUAAUUACUGACUUGGAUUAAGUUCCAGGCAAUUUAGCUAAGCUUUCAAAGGUCAACCAGCAUUUGAGGGGAUUUUUUUUUCUUUGAAGGUUUUUUUUCUUUUUUUUCCCCCAGUGAUAGAGUCUCAAAUCAGUCAAAAGAGAAGCACUUACGUGAUCAGCAUUGACUGAUUUUCCCGAUCUGUGGAUGAAAAAAAAUGACACAAACUUAGUAGGCUGUAUUUCUUACUUAUUACCCUUGCAAAUCAGCACCAACUAAUCCAGAAACAGCCCUGAAAGAAAAGCACAGAAUCACAGGAAAUAGUGAUGGAAAAGUAAAAAUGAGUGCAAUGUAGUCCAGCUUUUGGCAGUGCCAAUUCCACCCUUGCCCUGAAUCUCCCUCUUGUGUUUUGUUCAAGUUAGCAUUAAACAUCUGAGUCAUGAAUAUUCCCUUAUGCCCGGAAAACAAUGAAAUAGAAAGUAAUUUCCUGUCGGCAAAACAUUUCUUUCUUUACUCCUGUGUAGGUUUCUGCUCACAACUGACCCCUCUGCCCUGCAGCACUGCACCAGCCCAAGCAAUUCUACUGCUCGUUAAUGGAUCUUUCCUCACUAUUUAUGCAUUCUUGUUUGGUUAGCUCUGCUACUGAAUAAAGUCUUACAGCCUUC